ACCCCUACGGGGGGCAGCAGUGGGGAAUAUUGGACAAUGGGGGCAACCCUGAUCCAGCAAUGCCGCGUGUGUGAAGAAGGCCUGCGGGUUGUAAAGCACUUUCAAUUGGGAAGAAAAGCGAUCGGUUAAUACCCGGUUGUCUUGACGUUACCUUUACAAGAAGCACCGGCUAACUCCGUGCCAGCAGCCGCGGUAA
rnacentral:rRNA from 1 species